CAGCAUGUUUUAGGUAUAAGUUGACAGUACCUUUUAAUGUGCUUUUAAUAGAACCUUAUUUUCAGGAAGCUACUCUUGCUAAAAUGAAAAUGAGUUUGCUCUCCUUUACAGAAUGUUAAUCUAAAAAGGGCUACUGUGAGUCAUAAAUCCCAAAGAGUUAACAACUAAUUACACUAUACUUUGGAAGCUAAUUAUACAAAAGCAUACAAAAAGAAAACAUCAGAGUAUUAUUACAAUAUCUCUCUAUAUAAAAUAUGUGCAAAAUUCAAUAUACAAGCUUCUUGUUACUCAUCCAAGUUUUUUAAAAAUAAUGUAAACGUUAACUUAUUUAAACCAAUAUAAGUAGUUUGAUGUUACUCCUGGAAAACAAAGAUUGUCGGUACAAGAACCUCCGUAGCUUGGAGGGCAAGCAGAGCAUGGGACUCCUACUUUAUAUGGUGCCUCUCCAAUCCAAUUCCCCUUUGGGGCAUAGUUGCAUACCAAGUAAACAGCUCGUCGCCAAACAGAUCCCCAGACGUUCAUAUUUUGGCAUGUGUGGAUUGCGCAGCCUAUACGAUUGGAAGUGGCCCAAACCAUCUGUGUGUAAUGGGUGCACAUGGGUCCAUAGCAUCGCAUGGGGCACCUGGGGUUGCAGUCCUGAGGAUAAGGAAAAGCAUAAUCCUUCACUUCAUCAUACCAUGGCUUUACCAACUGGAGAAU
rnacentral:lncRNA from 1 species